rnacentral:rRNA from 1 species
AUGUGUUCGACGAUAUGCCCAAAGGUAGAAAAUUUCCCCAACUUUUUUUUCUUGUCAUUUUUUGAAUGCAUACAAAUAGAUAGCUUAUUUGCAUUGUUCUAUAUAUUUUGUAGUCUCAGCGAUGAUGCAUACAUGUCAACUAUGGGUGUUGGCUCCAACAAUUUGCAUUGGUCUCAAACCAAUGACAUGCACUUUGAUGACCAUGAGUUCGAGGUGGACGAGGAUGCUGAGGGCAUUGUCGACGCGCCGAAAGGAAAAGCGGGCAAUUAAACCAACGCCGGAGACAUCUUACUAUGCAAUACUUGGUUGCAAGUGUCGAGGGAUCCAUCCGUUGGAGGUGAUCAAAGUGGAGAUGCUUAUUAG